rnacentral:rRNA from 1 species
CGUCUAUAUACGUAUAGCAUAUCAAUAAGCGGAGGAAAAGAAACUAACUAGGAUUCCCUCAGUAACGGCGAGUGAAGCGGGAAGAGCUCAAAUUUGAAAUCUUAAAGGGUUUCCCUUUACGAAUUGUAGUUUAAAGAAGUGUUUUCUGUUGGAGUUUCGGUAAAAGUUCUUUGGAAUAGGACAUCAUAGAGGGUGAGAAUCCCGUAUUUGACCGUUACUUUCCAGCUGCGUGAUACACUUUCAACGAGUCGGAUUGUUUGGGAAUGCAGUCCAAAAUGGGUGGUAAAUUUCAUCUAAAGCUAAAUAUUGGCGAGAGACCGAUAGCGAACAAGUACCGUGAGGGAAAGAUGAAAAGAACUUUGAAAAGAGAGUUAAACAGUACGUGAAAUUGUCAAAAGGGAAGCGUUUGACACCAGUGUUGUUUUUCCGAAAAUCAAUUACGAAUGUUUUGUUUUUGAGAAGUUAUGACUUCAUCGGCUUGCUUCUUUCUUUACGAAACUUUCUUAAUGCACUUUUCGGUUAACAAGUCAACAUCAAUUUCUUUUGUUGUAAAAGGGUAUGAGGAAGGUGGCUUUCUUUUCGGAGAAAGUGUUUAUAGCCUUGUACCUCUGCAAUCGGAGAGAUUGAGGUCUGCAGCGUAGAUCCUUCAGGGUUAGAUACAUUUGUGCUAAGUUAUAGCCUUUCAUAGACAACUUGUUGACUAUGUUAAGUCUUGUAGCCUACUCGCUUAUGCUAUUUUACCUACGCUUAGGAUGUUGAUAUGCAUGACUGAUA